UAAAAAAAACCAUUGAUUAGUUUUGUAACCAUUCCCUUAGGGUGGGGAUAUUUAAAUUAUUGUUACAGCAUCCGAAAGCUCUCGUCGUUUGGGGCCGCGGCAAAUUUAAUAUUUUGUAAUUUCCGUUCCGUUUAUUAAUUAUUCGCCGCUAUUGCUAAUGUAAAACCAGGUUUGAAACGAUCAAGGUCGCCGUAGUACGUAGAUAAGAGACCUUUAGCAUGCCCCGAAAAUUUCAAGUAACAAUGGAUAUAACUGAACUACCGAAUUUUGGAAUUUCAACCCGGCUAACAAACUUCGCCUGAUUUGGUUGGAUUUAGUGUCAUUGGAAGCGCGCUAACUUAACAAGAUGCUAAAGCCAGAUUUUUAGGACGCCAGAGAGUCGAGCAAUGAAUUAAAGAAUGUUCAAUUUUGAGCGUUAUCAUACGAGUUCGCCGUGCUUUAUGGAAAGCCCAACGUUCCCUUCCAGAAAUUGGCGGAUUUUAUAAAAGGUUUUCCCCAGCGGUCGCCCGUCCAUCCCUGGAGUAUUCUGUUUGUGCAUAUGAUUACCUGUGGCUUCGGAAACUCCGAGACCGUUCUUCUGGGGUUUUGAACCGAUUUUGAACCUAUGUUUAAGAGAAUUUGUCCCUAAUUUUAUGUAACAUGUAGCAUAUACUUUGG